AUUGCCUCAGUAACGGCGAGUGAAGCGGCAACAGCUCAAAUUUGAAAUCUGGCCCUAGGCCCGAGUUGUAAUUUGCAGAGGAUGCUUUUGACAAGGUGCCUUCCGAGUUCCCUGGAACGGGACGCCAUAGAGGGUGAGAGCCCCGUCUGGUCGGACACCGAGUCUCUGUAAAGCUCCUUCGACGAGUCGAGUAGUUUGGGAAUGCUGCUCAAAAUGGGAGGUAUAUGUCUUCUAAAGCUAAAUACCGGCCAGAGACCGAUAGCGCACAAGUAGAGUGAUCGAAAGAUGAAAAGCACUUUGAAAAGAGAGUUAAACAGCACGUGAAAUUGUUGAAAGGGAAGCGUUUAUGACCAGACUUGGCCCGGUUGAUCAUCCAGCGUUCUCGCUGGUGCACUCUGCCGGUCCAGGCCAGCAUCAGUUCGCCUUGGGGGAUAAAGGUUUCGGGAAUGUGGCUCCUCGGGAGUGUUAUAGCCCGUUGCAUAAUACCCUGCGGUGGACUGAGGUCCGCGCUUCUGCAAGGAUGCUGGCGUAAUGGUCAUCAACGACCCGUCUUGAAACACGGACCA
rnacentral:rRNA from 1 species